rnacentral:rRNA from 1 species
AGUGAACGCUGGCGGUAGGCCUAACACAUGCAAGUCGAACGGCAGCACAGUAAGAGCUUGCUCUUACGGGUGGCGAGUGGCGGACGGGUGAGGAAUACAUCGGAAUCUACUUUUUCGUGGGGGAUAACGUAGGGAAACUUACGCUAAUACCGCAUACGACCUACGGGUGAAAGCAGGGGAUCUUCGGACCUUGCGCGAUUGAAUGAGCCGAUGUCGGAUUAGCUAGUUGGCGGGGUAAAGGCCCACCAAGGCGACGAUCCGUAGCUGGUCUGAGAGGAUGAUCAGCCACACGGGAACGGGGAAACGGUCCAGACCCCUACGGGAGGCAGCAGGGGGGAAUAUUGGACAAGGGGCGAAAGCCUGAUCCAGACAUACCGCGGGGGUGAAGAAGGCCUUCGGGUUGUAAAGCCCUUUUGUUGGGAAAGAAAAGCAGCAGGUUAAUACCCCGCUGUUCUGACGGUCCCCAAAGAAUAAGCACCGGCUAACUUCGU